GAUGUAGUUCAGUGGCAGAAUGCUUGCCUAGCAAGUGUGACACCCUGGGUUUGACCGCCAGCACUGCAAAGAAAAACAAAACAGUUGUGCAAGACAUUUAGGUAAAAGAUUGCUGGACUUUCUCCCUAAUAUAUUCAAUGGUUAAGCAAUUCUUCUGGCUCCCUUGAGAGACCUGCUGACCAAUGAGGCACAGUGUAUUAGUGGGAACAAGAACAUCUGGAAGGUGGUAAGAAGCAUUUGACUGCACACUCUCCCUGGAUCUGGAUUUCUCCAAGUCAUCACACUUAAAGCAGAAGGGAAAUGGCUGAGCUGAAGGUAAGAAAUCAUCUGGCUGGGGCUGGGGCUGAGGUAUAGCUCAGAGGUAUGCUCAAUGCCCUGGGUUCCAUCCCCAGCACCAAAAGAAACCACCUAGCAAGUUUGCAGUGGCUUCUUUAGCCAGAAUUGAUAGAAGUUUCUGAAAACUCCAGUGAUCAAAAUCCUUGUGUUAGGGACUGGGGUUGUGGCUCAGCAGUAGAGCACUUGCCUACUGCAGAGGCAAGGCCCUGGGUUCAAUCCUCAGCACCACAUAAAAAUAAAUAAAAUAAAGGUUUUGCAUCCAACUACAAGUAAAAAAUAAAUAUUAAGAAAAAACUGUGUUCAGAGGCUUCACAGAAAUGUCUAUGCAGAUAACGGGGGAGACAAGGGAGAAUUGAUAAAGGAAAGCAAUACUGACCACCUCUUGUCUUUUUUUCAUUUCAAAUAUGGUCUUGGACAUGUAGGCAUUUCCUAAGGCUCUCCUCCACCAUGGACACACUUUUCACUGAGUCUGUUUCUCACCCCAGGGUCUCUGACCUGUUCCUGUAGCUACAGCUUCCUGCACUGCUUCCAGCAACCAAUCAGAUAUGCUUAAUAUGAUAAGUUAUCUUGAUACUCAGAAUCAGCUUUGACCAGUAUCUAGCACUUCCCCUAGGAAAUAAUUCUUUCCAAUUAAUGUGCAUUAGAAAAGCAUGAGUGGGUUAUGUAUUCUUAGGUGCUAUGUAUUUAACUAUGAAUUAACUUAUAUUGUAAUCCUCAAAAGAAUCCUGGUGUCUAGAUGCUCUUGUUUCCAUUUGACCAAUAACAAAAGUGAAGCUCAGAGCUAAAUAACUUGCUCAAGAUUGUUGCCGGGAGGUGAUAGAGACUGGAUUAGUACUUAGGUUUUGUCUGAAUCCAAAUCCCAGACUCAGAAAAAAAGUCUUGGUGGCUUCUCCUAAACUGGGGCCUUCAGGCCAGGGAAAGGAAAAUAUCCCCCAGUAUCUACAAUCAUGUCUAAUGCCUAGCCCAGGCUGACAUCAGGGCCUGAUGCAAGUAGAGCUAAACAGAACUGCCCUGAACCUUGGCUCAAACUGAGUGGGACAGACCCCCUCCCAGAAUGCAGGGUUUAAGCAUUGCCCUAAUGCCCUUUAACCUAUGCUGAGUUUGAAGAACCUAACAUCUCUCUAAUUAAUAGGGAUCCUAAACACACUCAACACCAGAAUAAGAGUUUAUUUUAUGCCCGACUGAGAGUUUACUCUCAUUCUUUCAUUCAGCAAAUAGUAUGUGCUAGUGUGUGAUGCUGCAGAUUAAUCUAGGGUAGGAAGUAAGUCCAAUUUAGGUAGAGUCAAGAGGAACUUUCUAAAGGAGACUAUUCUUAGGUUGAGUCUUGGGAAAAAAGUAGGCAUUGGUGAAGUAAAAAAUGAUGGGGCCAGAGGAAACAGCAUCUGCAAAGACACAAAAUAUGCAGAGUUCUGCAAGUUCUGGAGUCCCAGUGAUCCAGCUUAACUGGAGUUGCUGGAGAUCCAGCCAAAUGGAAAUACCUGGGAGGUGGUUGGAUGUAUGGAUCCGGAACUCAGGGCAGUGGGCAGGGGUAAGGGGAAUAGAUAUGUGAUCAUCAUGUCAAUGGUGGCUGCUUGGUCACGGAGAAGGGAGAAAACAUAGAAACUUUGUUUUCUGAUGAAAAUCCUACAAGGAACUUCAGCAGGGCUGGAAACAUCCUUACCAUUUAUAAAUAAAUUAUACCUAAAAUCUUAUCCUUCUGUAAUUUUUAAGCAAUUUAUUAUGCACAGCACCAGCACACCAAUGCAAAUUGCAUGCUGGUCUUUGUUCUCAAGUUCAAAGGCAUUCUCAGCCUGCUGUCUAAUCUCCAGAAGAAAAGGUUAGCUGCAGAGGUCAGAAAUCUAAAUGCAGAAAGUCAGAUUGCAUCAUGCACAUUCUAAUCAAUAAGCAUUACAUAACUUUAGAAAGGUUUCUCGUCUUUUUUUUUCCUUCAUUUUAAUGGAUAUAUCAACAUAAAACCUCAAAUGAAAUCACAUCUCCAUUAAAGCACAGCUAGGGGAAGAAAAGUAAAAAGAUAAAAUAAUAAAAUUAAAUCUAAAAGUGAACUGUCCCACAGUCUUAAGUUGCUUCAUUCUCCAGGCUUUGGAUUCUUCAUUUCUAAAAUGAAGAAGUGAUUUUACAUGCAGACAUUGGAGCCCAUCACCGAUACUUGAUUCCCUAGCUUUGAAUUUAUAUUGAUCACAUUUCUGAAAAGACUUGUAAUGAUUAGCUAGAGAGGGGACACAUUGGCUUACAUAAUUAGUUUCCUUUUGCUGCAGUCAUAAGUUACCACAGUAUUAUGGCUUAAAACAGCUCAAAUUUAUUCUCUUACAGUUCUGGAGGUCAGAAUGUCACCAGCUCAGCAGGUCAAUCAGUUCAUUCAAGACAGAAAUCAAACAUGGCUAAUAAAGAGAGGGUUAGAAAGAAUCAUUUAUUGCAUUGAUUAAUUUAGAAAGGUGGCAGCCCCAUAAACAGAGUAGCCAGGCAGCAGUGACCAUUCCAUAGACAGAAUGGCAAGAAAGUCAAAAGGCAAACAACAUAUUUAUAUAGUUGUGGAUCAGGAAUUUGCAUAUUUGUAGGUUACAUAACAAUAUUCAUGAUUACAUUGCAAUCUCUUACUGUGCCUGCACCAUUUGGCACAUGGUCAAAAUUGUGUCUAAAAUUGUGUUAGGUCUCCCUCCUGAGCAUGUCUUUAAUAUGGAAAUGCAUUUAAAUGAGGUUCCUGGUUACUUUCAGUCAAGGGCUUGGUCAGAUCUGCUUGCAUGAGUUUGAUAUUUUCUUGUUAUUUAUUUUAAACAACCAAUGUAGUUGGGAGGCUUUUUCCUAUUCAUCUUAAGCAUAAAGCAUAUAGUCCCUUCCUAACACCAGCUUAAUUUUUUUUUUUUAAACCAGAGAUUGAUUGCCUACCUCUGGAGGCACUUAACUACUUACUGAGUCAUAUCUCCAGCCCUUUUUAGUUUUAUUUUUUAAUUUUGAGAUGGGUUUCACUAAGUUACUUAGGGCCUCACUACAUUGCUGAGGCUGGCUUAGAAUUUGCAAUCCUCCUGCUUCAGCCUCUUGAGCCACUGGGAUUACAGGCAUGCACAACCAGCUUAAACUUUAACCCUAUACUCCUGCCUUAAAAAGUCUGAAAUUAGUUGCACUGGACUAAAGUCAAGGUGUCAACUUGGAAGUUUUCUUUUGGAAACUCUACACAAGAAUCUGUUUCCCUGGUCCCAUCAGCUUCCAGUUUCCAUACGUUGGUUUGUGGCCACUUCCUCUCUCUUCAAAGUUCAUUGCUCAGAUCUCUACUUAGAUCAUCUUUUGCAAUCAAAUCUCCCUCUUUCUCUGUAUCAAAAUGAUAUUUAUGAUUACAUUUAGGGUGCACCCAAAUAAACAGGAAUUGCCCCACUCCAAGAUCCUUUACUUAGUCAUAUCUGCAAAAUUCUCUUUCACUACAUAAUGUAAUACUCUUAAAUUCCAGGGAUUAAGACAUUUCAGGUCCAUUACUCAACCUACAGCAAUAUCUGCAAGUUGACCUAACAAUUAAUGUUAGCCAGAAAUACCAGAUUCCUUCUUUGCAUAGGUAAAAAAGGUAAUGGUAGUUCCAUCUUUACCCUGGCUUCUCUCACUUUACUUCAUGACCAGUAAAAGGAAGUGAGGUAUAUACCAUUUGCUAGUCCCAUUAGGUAGUACUUAGAAUCUGACUCAGAAGAAAGCACCUCAUAAAAUUAUUCUGACCAGUAAAUCAUAUCCUGGGGACCAGGUGAGAAUUAAAAAGCUGUAUACUAGUGAGCUGCCAAAGAACUGAAGGUAUUGAAGUCACAUGGAGCUUAGUAAUUUAUUCUUUAGUUAGAAAAUGUGCAUAAAAUUCUCUUGGAAAGAAAAUCAUAUUUUUAUGUUGAAUCAAAUUAUUCUGAAAUCUGAAACGAAGCAAACAUACAAACACAUUUGCUUAAUGUCAGAUUUUUAUUUUGCUACAUUUUCCUAUAAGGUAAUUUUUACAUAAUCACUGAACCAGCUGGAGUCGAAUGCUUGGAUUUUCAGGGCUGAUAAAAGCAGAGUUCAGAUUCUGUCCUUGAGCUCAGAGCCUUGAGAAAGCAGCUGCAAAAUGCAGUUUCCCCAAUUCAGAAGCUUUCAGCAGUGAGGGAGAUGGCAUUUUAAAACUCUAAUAAACUCAUCCGUAACUUUGCUCUCGAGGAUUAAGAAAACCAAAGGAGUCAAUAGUGACUCAGCAAUUUCCACCUCCUCUUGAGCCAAUGCACUGCAGCUAAACUGGAGAAAGGGAUUCAGAACUCACACCUCUCUCAGCACUGGGGUGGCUCCCUUCCAAACCACCAGCUGUUCUUUCCGCUUUCUUUUCUAUUUUCUAAAGCACAGCCUGAAUCAAAUGCUUCAGAAUCACAUACACUAACUCUCUUUUUCCUUGUUCCGAACACACAUAUAACCUCUGUUCUGAGGCCAACAGUUGCAAAGAAUGGGAAAGGUUAAUAAGUAAAUCCACUCAUGCCUGCCAGAAAGCUCAGCUGUACUGGGCAGCUCUGGAACCUUCCUUUCUCCUUGCAGAGAGAAACAAUGCAGCAGCUGAACAAAGAGAAGGCACUGUCAUACUCAGUGGCUUCAGUUACAAGCUGGGCAAAAAUUCCAUUUCACAGAAUUGAAGAUAAUUUGGGGUCAUUACCGAUUCUCAGCAACUCAAAUUCAAUCCCUGUUGAUGGUGAGCAUGAGGUUCAUUUUGAGAAAAGAAAACUGUAUUCUGUUGAAGUAGGACAAAGAGGCUGGACACCUGAGGAAUUUUCAGGAAGCAGGUUUAUUGACUGCAGGGUUCAUCAGAGGUGGCUCUUGCCUAAGAAUUCUUCUACUGAACAAUGUGUACAGAAAUUCUUAGAACUUUAUACCCAGUAGUGGGGGGUGCUGGGAGGUUUAUAUAACGAGCGUGUUUUGUUCUAUUCUGCAGACAGGUUUCACGAGCUUUUUUUUUUUUCCUGUAAACCGUGCAUUUGCCAAAAAUGAGAAAACUACCGACCCCCAUACCCUUCUGCACGGAGAAGUUUUCGCUGAUAGAAAACGUUCUGAAGAGGAACUUAUAUAUUACAAAUAUAGUAGGGGUUUCUGCUUAAUUAGGGUAAGGGUCUUCUGGGUGGGAGUCUCUGGCCAGCUUCACUGUAGAGAAUGAAAAUGUUGGAUGAUCUCUGCCACUUUCCUCCAAAAUACCAUUCCAAACAGCACAGUGCUGCUGGGAACAAAUCUGAUUAUAACUUGGUGGGGUUUUUGUGUGAUGAUGAAUUUUCAAAUAUACAAAAAAUUUGCGGGGGCUGGAGACAUAACUCAGUGGUAGAGCACAUGCUUAACAUAUGUGAUGCCGGGUUCAAUCUUCAGCACCCCCCACCCCAAAAACUGUGUCUGAAAGCAAAAGAAUAAUUUCACUUUCAUUGCUUUCUAGGUCAUAACAUUUCACAUUCAAUAUUCCUUCUAAAUAUAGACACUGUUGGCCUGAUCAUCGCUCACACAUCCAGGCAUGUUACAUCUAGCUCAUCCUUCCCCGAGCUGCCAAGAACUCUGGAGGGCCUACCCUCCACCCACAUCCAUCCUUCUUAUAUCUUCUAAAGAAAUGUGCUCAGAUGGUGGCAUUUCACUCACCCAGCGAGGCUGCACUUUGCUUAUCCUAAACUAAAAUCAAUUGGUGUUUAAGUUAGAGCAAAGGAGGCUCUAACCCCACUUAGCAAACCCUAUAUGCACUCAUAGUAGAAGCUGGCUAUAAGUGAAAAACUAAAUCAAUCCACAGACAGCUACUGAAUACCUUCCAUGGUUCAGGGCACAGGGUACAUAGAGAACAAGACUGCCAUAGUCCCAGCUUUCAUGAAAUUUAUAACAGAACAAGGAAGCCAGUGACAGACCUGUGACAAAACUCACAGGUGUGUUAAAUACUGCAAGAGUCAAUCUCAGGUCUUGGAUGGUGGCAGUAAGGAACCAAGAUGCUACAAAUCUGUUGUUUCUUCAUCAGAUUGCCCAGAGGACCAUAAAUGCUGCAGGCAUUUUGAAAAUAAAGUUCCAUAGAAACAAAAGCUGUUUUAGAAGGAUAAUGGAAUUGUAGUACAUCCAAAGGGCGAGGAAGAGCUGAUACUUUCCUGUAUAGAGCCACUGUGGUUCUUACAGCUGGUAGAAUAGCAUGUGCCAUGUCAGCUGACUGUGGACUCAUUUCAUAAGAGGCUUGUGACUUCAGUCAUCCUAGUACACUUGGUUCAGUUUCACUCUCUAUGGCCUUGGGAAUCAAUAUUUAUUGACAUUUACUAACUAUGAUCAAUAAGGCAGUAUUUACCAUGGGAGGGGGGAGGGUAAAUUUCAAGGGAUCCCCCAUGAUCUGCUUUAUUGAGAAAUCUCUUAAACUUUUCCCUUCUGGGUAUAAAGUUAAGAGAUGUCAAUCACAAUAGGCUCCAUUGUGCCAUUGUGAAAAAUUAUGGGCUGAGACAUCUCCUGAAAGCCACCCCUACCUUUCAACUUCAUUUUCACAUAUCCUCACAGAUAUAAGUAUAAAUACACAUGUGCUCCAUAGAUGAGCCAGAUAACGUAGGUUUCUGCCUGCAGCAAGGCUAGUUUGGAGAGAGCUUUCUGGCAAAGAUUUUGCUGUGAUUUUAGAUGCACAUACAUUUUCCCAGUUUCUUUUUUUUUUUCUAGGAUAUGGAGGGAGAAUGGAUUCCCAAGCUUAGGGAGAUUGCAAUCUAGGCCCAGCAAGAUCCUUCUAAUCUGGACUUAAACCAUCUUCCUCCCAAGAACUUCCAGAUGGAACUAGAAUUAAAGAGCUUAUUCUUGAGAUGAGAUAAGCAAAAAUAAGCCCAUAAUCAACCAAGUACCACUAAGGGUAUUGAUUAAAUAGAAGUCUUUAAAAUUUAUACAAAAUACAUAGUCUUUCCUACAUGAUUUACAUGUCAAGACAUAGCAAAGAUAUUGUGUCUGGAACAUCAUAUUCAAACAUGUGACCAUGCAGAAAUUCUUACCUUUGUAGUCAGUCAGUGUUGGGAAAUGUUCUUUAUAUCCCAAUAAUGGUGGCAUUUAUGUCUCUGUUACAUGCAGUACAUUUCUGGAUUUGGGAAUGAAUGUGCUUCAGAGGACCCUCGAUGUCCAGGUUCCUUGCCUGAAGGACAGGUAUGAGUGAAUAAAAUUCUUAGAGAAUACUAACUCAUGGGCUUGGAUGACCAUCCCUCAGGCCAAAAGGCCUCCACCCAACAAAGUUCUUCUAAUCUAGCAGGUAAACUGUUUGGAAGCUUCACAAAUUAUUAGGAAAAAUGGAAUAUAGAACAAUGACAAUACAAAAAUUCAACUUGGGGACUGCUGGUUAUUACCUAUGGCAAAGUACCCAACUCAAACUAGUAAAAUUAGCUGUAGGAUUUCCAGGAGAAACCCCAACAUCCAGGGGUAGGGGUCUUUUCUUCUAGUUCCUUUGAACAGCAGAAGAUAUGACAAUGAUGAGAAAAUAAGUUAUUUUAGAAAUAUAUGUACAAAGACGUUUGUACCAGUGUUGGUUAUAAUUGCAAAACUACAGUAAACAAAAUUCUCUCAAAACUUUUUGGAGAAUAUUUCAUGGCACACACACACACACACAAAAUGCUUUUGAUAUAUUAUUUCCUUAAAAAAAUAAAAGCAAGUCCUGAUUAUCACAGUUACAGGUAUCAUAAGAUCCUCAUUUUUGGAGGAUAAGAAUGAAAAGAAAUACACUUACAGAUUAACAUUGGUUAUUUCUGAUUGGUGAGAUAAUGGGUGAUUUUAGAUUUCAUAUUUAAUAAAUUUUCUACAAUAAGCAUAUAUUACUUUUAUAAUCAGGGGGACAUUUACAUAAAAAGGUAUUACAAGAAAUAUUAAUGACUUGGGGUGGUCAUGUGCAGUCGCCCAGAGUCUCCCCAUUCAGGAAGGAUUCCCCCACUGAACUGGUUGGUGGAAAGGUUUAGGGGGAUGCUUUUUGGAUUUGAAUGACAUUGUUUAUUGCCUCUUUUGGUUUUAGAAUAAUCCUCAAGUCUGCCCCUACAAUCUGUACGCUGAGCAGCUCUCAGGAUCAGCUUUCACUUGUCCCCGGAGCACCAAUAAGAGAAGGUACGAGGAUGAGAUGAAUUCUGACCUGCAGACAGUGGGAACUAUGACCAGGACCUUGUGCCACCUCCCCUACCAGGGUCAUGGAUCCUUCUUCUUUUAGGCUGUGCUGGGUUACAGGUAGAGGGGAAUGGGCCUUGUUCCCAGUUGGAAUCAAGUGACUGGUGGGAGAUGGUGAGGGAACAAACUACACAGAAAACCCAAGUCCAGUUCCACUUACAAAUUCUCACCAGUACUCAGAAGGAAGUGUGUUUUUCUUCUUUUAAAAUAAAAUAUGUCUAAUACUCUG
rnacentral:lncRNA from 1 species